rnacentral:lncRNA from 1 species
AUAGAUUUGGUCUGACUUUUUGUCAGUAUCUUUCAAUAACAGUCUGAAAUCAUCUACUGGAUUCUGAAAAUUAUUUUCUACUAUCUAGCUUCCUGUGAGGAAUUUCCAAGAAGCCACGAUGUUACAUACAGUCAGUUUUGGUCCUCUGCCUCUCCUUUAUCAGAGUUCUUUCCAACUUUGCCAUUGUGAUCAACGAAAACAGAGAACUCCCCAGACACUCUCAAGAGGUACUAGAGGAUGGGGAGAUGACAUCACUUGGGUAAAGACUUGUGAAGAAGAUCUUUCAUACUCAAAACAGAUCCUUCUUAACAGUCAGAGCUGAUAUAACUGGAAGAUAUUCUAAUAGACUGUAUACAUAUGAACCUCAGGACUCACCAGCAUGUAAGUAUUCACAAAUUGUCUUGAACAGUGGUAGGAGCUUUGUUUGUUAGUAGGUCAGUGAUGCCCUACAUCUACCUAGUCCCACAUACAGCGCUAUUCACAAAUGGGAAUCACCAGAGUCAGUGGUGGAGGUAGUGUUUAAAAA